CCUGGGUCUCUAGUUCAGUCUCGUAUCAGCUGUCAUAGAGGUCCCAGCUGUGCGGCCACCAGUAACUAAGGACAGCCCGCGACAUUUAGCUGGUGGCUUCAUGUUUUUACUACGUGCCAGAAUUUCAUUUACAAUUAACGAAACUAAGGUCAAGAGAGGAGGAGACUUGCCCAGAGUCGCCCAAGGGGCAGGGUAUGAUGUGAACCCAUUUCUAGGGUAGUGGAGCUGUCACUGACCCUUUCUUAAUGGCCUUGGCCAAAGGGCAGAACUUCUCUGAACUUGUUUCUCCUCGUGUUUGUCUGUUGGAAUUUUCUGCACGCUUUCUUUGUUGCUCGAGAAUUUUUGAGUCUAGUAGUUUAGUAUAAGAUAGGACCUGAAAAAGUCUCUGUUCUUGAUGGGAACUUAAAAAGUGGAAAAGUAGAGGCCGUUAUGUUGAUUGUUGAGAGAGAGGAAGAGAGAACUGCCUGAAAAGACUAGCAGACACUGGCCUGGAGGCCUGGGGCUGCAGAACUUGGAUUCAGCAGUUCCUGAAGCCUUGCCACCAUUGCUGCUUCUGCAUAAUGUUCCAGCUAGGACAACAACGAGGGCACACUGGCAUUGACUUGGGCCCACCCAGAGAAUGUACAAUGACCUCGUCUCAGAUCCUGCCCUUGCCUACGUCUGCAAAGCCUCUGUUCUAAUGCAGGCAGCCCUCACGUCACCAUACUUGCACAGACGUUGGGUAUUUUUUCGACAGGGGGUUUCCCUUUUUAUUUUUAAACUGAAUUAUACUGUUCCCACUUAUCAAAGUUUAGUAAAGAACUCCCCAAAUUAUUGAAUUAUCUUCAAUCUUCUUCAUUUUUUUUUUUACUUUUAUUGAAAUUUAUUUCAUGUCGAAUUUA